AGUUUUCACUGGGUUACUUUUUAGAAUUUGUUGUCCUCGUUAUGGAGAAAGAAGACAAACUGAGAGUGAUUGGGGGAAGCGAUGUGUGGAUAAGUUUGACAUUAUUGGGAUAAUUGGAGAAGGAACCUAUGGCCAAGUAUAUAAAGCCAAGGACAAAGACACAGGAGAACUAGUAGCUCUGAAGAAGGUUCGACUAGACAAUGAGAAAGAGGGCUUCCCAAUCACAGCCAUCCGGGAGAUCAAAAUUCUUCGUCAGUUAGUCCAUCGAAGUGUUGUUAACAUGAAGGAAAUUGUCACAGACAAA